rnacentral:rRNA from 1 species
UACAGAGGGUGCGAGCGUUGUCCGGAAUCACUGGGCGUAAAGGGCGCGUAGGUGGCUUGGUAAGCGUGUGGUGAAAGUCCGGGGCUCAACCCCGGAUCGGCCAUGCGAACUGCCGAGCUCGAGCAUUGUAGAGGCAGGUGGAAUUUCGGGUGUAGCGGUGGAAUGCGUAGAUAUCCGAAAGAACACCGGUGGCGAAGGCGGCCUGCUGGGCAAUUGCUGACACUGAGGCGCGACAGCGUGGGGAGCAAACAGGAUUAGAAACCCCCGUAGUCC